rfam:Gavia stellata contig75054, whole genome shotgun sequence.
CUGCAGGGAUGAUCCCACCGAACUCUCUCUUGCUGAUGGCACAGUGGGGAAGCUCUUCAUCAGGCUCUGAGUGGC